GCGACGAUCAGUAGCCGACCUGAGAGGGUGAUCGGCCACAUUGGAACUGAGACACGGUCCAAACUCCUACGGGAGGCAGCAGUGGGGAAUAUUGCACAAUGGGCGAAAGCCUGAUGCAGCAACGCCGCGUGAGUGAUGAAGGCCUUCGGGUCGUAAAACUCUGUCCUCAAGGAAGAUAAUGACGGUACUUGAGGAGGAAGCCCCGGCUAACUACGUGCCAGCAGCCGCGGUAAUACGUAGGGGGCUAGCGUUAUCCGGAUUUACUGGGCGUAAAGGGUGCGUAGGCGGUCUUUCAAGUCAGGAGUGAAAGGCUACGGCUCAACCGUAGUAAGCUCUUGAAACUGGGAGACUUGAGUGCAGGAGAGGAGAGUGGAAUUCCUAGUGUAGCGGUGAAAUGCGUAGAUAUUAGGAGGAACACCAGUUGCGAAGGCGGCUCUCUGGACUGUAACUGACGCUGAGGCACGAAAGCGUGGGGAGCAAACAGGAUUAGAUACCCUGGUAGUCCACGCUGUAAACGAUGAGUAC
rnacentral:rRNA from 1 species